GACGAACGCUGGCGGCGUGCUUAACACAUGCAAGUCGAACGGAAAGGCCCUGCUUUUGUGGGGUGCUCGAGUGGCGAACGGGUGAGUAACACGUGAGUAACCUGCCCUUGACUUUGGGAUAACUUCAGGAAACUGGGGCUAAUACCGGAUAGGAGCUCCUGCUGCAUGGUGGGGGUUGGAAAGUUUCGGAGGUUGGGGAUGGACUCGCGGCUUAUCAGCUUGUUGGUGGGGUAGUGGCUUACCAAGGCUUUGACGGGUAGCCGGCCUGAGAGGGUGACCGGCCACAUUGGGACUGAGAUACGGCCCAGACUCCUACGGGAGGCAGCAGUGGGGAAUAUUGCACAAUGGGCGGAAGCCUGAUGCAGCAACGCCGCGUGCGGGAUGUCGGCCUUCGGGUUGUAAACCGCUUUCGCCUGUGACGAAGCGUGAGUGACGGUAAUGGGUAAAGAAGCACCGGCUAACUACGUG
rnacentral:rRNA from 1 species